GUUCGUAAAUGAUAGCCUAGUAGACAUGGCAUCUGCCCGGUAAGCGGAACAUUGUGGGUUCGUUUCCCAUCCCUGAACA
rnacentral:tRNA from 1 species